GCUCUGAGACGACUCGAAGCAAACCCCGCGGCGCCCACACCCCACCACCACCACCACACGCGCGCGCACCCACACCGGCGGUCGGUGGCAAGCUGCGGCACGGACGCGGGGCAGAGGCGGCACCGAGCACGCACAGGAAGGUGCAGUGCGGCCGAACGCGCUCGCCAGGUCGAGCUAACAAGGCCGGCGGAGCCUGCUGGAGGGACGAGGGAAACCGCCCUGCGCUGAAGGUGUUCGUGGAAUUGUCUCGGCGGCGCGACAUGGGCGAUUCGUUCGUGCUGCUACAUGCUCGUGGCACGGAUGGACGUUGGAGCACGCCCAGUGUGGCGCGUACGGGAGAGACGGGAAUAUACUCUUUCGCCGGCCAUGUCGCCCUGGCGAGCCGGCUGCCGCUGCCCACGCUUUCCGGCGGCGUUUCCUUGGCGUCGGCAUCAGUGAGGACCGUUGGAACCAGGUUUGCUUCGUAGCAGCAGCUAUGUUCGUCAUUCUCGGUCUAGAGCUCCGGUCUUGAGGAAUCGGUGAACCGUAAGAAGCAGUGGGACGAAGAGAAUGCCACUGCGGUCAAGGAAGUGGAGGCUUCGGGAUGAAUCAAGUAUGAGACUGAGGCCAUCUCAGCGCUGUUUACCUGGCCGAUGCAUUUGAAGCCGUUGAAGUCGCCGAGCCACUCAAGGCAGUGGCCUCUCUCGCUGUGGCUGCCCUGCAAGACGAGGCUGUCCUGUUUCCUUGUCUGAACUAAGGAGCUUUCAAACAGGUUGCUGGUGGUGAUGGCACGGUAAGUUGGCUGCUUGGAGUAGUUAGUGAUCUGAAGCUUACGCACUCACCCCCUGUUGCUACUGUGCCUCUGGGAACCAGAAACAACCUUCCUUUUUCAUUCGGAUGGGGAAAGAAGAACCCAGCUACUGACCAAGAGGCAGUGAAAUCAUUCCUUGGGCUAGUAAAAGGAGCCAGAGAAAUGCGCAUUGAUAGUUUGCAUAUCAUCAUGAGGAUGCAAGUUCCACAGGAAGGUCCAUGUAAUCCUAUUGCUCCCUUAGAGCUGCCUCAUUCACUUCAUGCAUUCCACCAUGUAACUGGCUCCGAUGAGCUCAAUGUGGUAGGACAUAUUUCUGCUGCUACCAUUUAUUGUUAAUCCUUUGAUUACUAAUGUAGUUAAUAGUAACAAUGGACUAACACUUGUAAAUGCCAUUUAUACACUGAAAAGUAGAAAUGUCAUGAGUUUAUUAACCAAUUAUGUC